UACGGAGGGUGCGAACGUUAAUCGGAAUUACUGGGCGUAAAGCGCGUGUAGGCGGCUAUGUAAGUCGGGCGUGAAAUCCCACGGCUCAACCGUGGAAGUGCACCCGAAACUGCGUAGCUAGAGUCCUGGAGAGGAAGGUGGAAUGCUUGGUGUAGAGGUGAAAUUCGUAGAUAUCAAGCGGAACACCGGUGGCGAAGGCGGCCUUCUGGACAGUGACUGACGCUGAGACGCGAAAGCGUGGGGAGCAAACAGG
rnacentral:rRNA from 1 species